UACGUAGGGACCGAGCGUUGUCCGGAAUCAUUGGGCGUAAAGAGCGUGUAGGCGGCUUGUUAAGUCUUGCGUGAAAUCUCGGGGCUCAACCCCGAGCGGUCGUGAGAAACUGGCAGGCUAGAGUGCGGGAGAGGAGAGUGGAAUUCCUGGUGUAGCGGUGAAAUGCGCAGAUAUCAGGAGGAACACCUAUGGCGAAGGCAGCUCGCUGGGACGUUACUGACGCUGAGACGCGAAAGCGUGGGGAGCAAACAGG
rnacentral:rRNA from 1 species